UCCGUAGGCGGGCUUUUAAGUCAGUGGUGAAAUCCCAGAGCUCAACUCUGGAACUGCCAUUGAAACUGAAAGUCUUGAAUUUAGUUGAGGUGGGCGGAAUACGUUAUGUAGCGGUGAAAUGCAUAGAUAUAACGUAGAACACCGAUUGCGAAGGCAGCUCACUAAGCUAACAUUGACGCUGAUGGACGAAAGCGUGGGGAGCGAACAGGAUUAGAUACCCUGGUAGUCC
rnacentral:rRNA from 1 species